GGUAUUAUUAGUAUAACCAUAGAUGAACUAAAUACAGAGUAAAUGAUUUCUCUAUGGUAUGACGAAUACAACUCCGUGGCCAAAUGUUUUGAUAAACUACAAAGAGUUUUGCUUCAAUUUUUUUAAAUAGUUUUCCAGAAUAUUAGUUUUUCAUGCCCCUCCAGGAAUGCGCCCCCUGAAGGACUGCGUCCCAAUGCACCGCAUUGGUUGCAUUGGCGUUAUUUACGCCACUGGAAGCAAGCUAUGAUUGUAUCAAGUAUGCAAUACAUGUACUUAAGUGAAGAGUGCAGCAAUAUAAUCAUUAUCAAGAUUGUCGAGCUGGAACAAGUGCACUUAUACUAUGAGGAUAAUUAGUCACUUCAGCAGCACACUCCAGCUGUACCAAAUGAUUGAUUCCAUUCUGAGACCACUCCUCACAUAUUACUGUAUCCAGACAGCAGUCAGCGAAGUGAGUGGAUGAGAUGAAUGAAGAAUGAAUGAGAGGCGAAGUUGUGGAUGAAUUCAUUCAUCCGGGAUCGCCUCCGCUCGCCGGUCGUUCCAUGGAUGCUCCUCGUGGUAUCAAAUUCAAUUUGUCAGAUUGAAUUCACUCCACUCGCCCUCUUUCUUGAUAGUGCCGGAACGCUGCAACUUUCUCAUCACGGCAAAGAAAAACUGCACAACGAUAGGGAGAAUGGAGAGUGAAACUUGGAGUUCACAAAAAACUUUGAGUGGAUAACAACGACUAUGCAGAUCCAUCUCCACGCAGAAAUGGGAAUUGAAAUUACUCAACGUUACUGUAUCAACAAUCCUGGUAAUAUCUCUCGGUUCUUAUCAAAGUUCAGCUGAAAUUGGAGAGCUGCUGGUGGUUCAGCCAAAUUAGCCUUCACAUUCCAUCUUGAAAAGAAUUGAGUGGUUCCGUUGUUUUCGUAAAGCUGAGUAGGUUGAUGCAGAAGAGAUUGAUUUAAUUUCCUUCCACAGAGAUAAAUAUGAGGAAAAACCUAGUACUCGUAUCUACAUCGAAUUCAUAUGCGUGAUGAAAUGUUUCUGGUGUCUCUCUGUUUUCUCUCUUAUAGACUCCCAGAAAUUUGAGAAAACAACUUUCCCCCAUUUGUUCAGGAAACAAUAAGACAACUAUUUUUCAUUAAUUCAACACUUGAAAAUUAAGCUUGCUUGAACAGAAAGAAAAUCUUUUAAAGUGUUUCCUGUUAUGUUUAUUGCAUAUACUAUUAUAAAGUGGU